rnacentral:tRNA from 2 species
GCGGCCGUGGCGGAACUGGUAGACGCGCAACGUUGAGGUCGUUGUGUCCGAAAGGACGUGGAAGUUCGAGUCUUCUCGGCCGCACCA